AGCUGUUUUGGGACUACAACUCCUAUCAUCCCUAGCUAACAGGACCAGUGGUCAGGAAUGAUGGGAGUUGUAGUCCCAAGACAGCU
rnacentral:miRNA from 1 species